rnacentral:lncRNA from 1 species
AUGCCUGGUACCUUCCCUUUCCCCCUUGUGCAUCAUCGGGGAGCCUCCUUGUGACUAGAAUGUAAGUCCGUUGUUAGUGAUGGCAGCCUGUGGCACCAGAGCGUCUGAGACGUGUAGGAGAGAGUGAACAUCUGACAUCAUGUACAUCCAUGUGUGUGACAGUGGCUGGCAAUGUCGUCUUUGAGACUUUGACUAGCCCAGAUCGCCAUUUCUUAGGAGGAGCUGAGAGGAAGAGUGGCUGUCGGACUUCUUAAAGCCGUGCACCAGGAGCUGGUGACCUUCAGAGAUGUGGCAGUAGACUUCCCCCAAGAGGAAUGGGGUUGCCUGAAUUCUUCUCAAAGGCAUUUGUACAGUUGUGUGAUGUUGGAGAACUAUAGAAUCCUGGUGUCUCUGGGCCUUUGCUUUUCUAAGCCAAGUGUAAUAUUCCUGUUGGAACAAGGGAAAGACCCAUGGACCGUGAAGACAGAGCUGACAGACAGUUUCUCCACAGGUGGGCAUCGCUACCGGUGGAUAAACACAGAACACUACGUGGAGCGAGGCUCAAAGAACAGCGGUGCAGGUAAGUGGGGCCAGGACUCAAGCGAAGGUGGAACCGUUCCAGCCCAUGUUGGCAGCGUUCAUGUCGUAAUAGUUGAUGUAGACCCGGUC